rnacentral:rRNA from 1 species
GUGUCAGCCGCCGCGGUAAUACAGAGGUCCCGAGCGUUGUUCGGAUUUAUUGGGCGUAAAGGGUGCGUAGGCGGCGGAGUAAGUUGGGUGUGAAAUCCCGGGGCUUAACCUCGGAAUUGCAUUCAAUACUGCUUCGCUUGAGUACUGGAGAGGAGGCUGGAAUUUACGGUGUAGCAGUGAAAUGCGUAGAUAUCGUAAGGAAGGCCGGUGGCGAAAGCGAGCCUCUGGACAGUUACUGACGCUGAUGCACGAAGGCCAGGGGAGCAAACGGGAUUAGAUACCCCGGUAGUCC